GGCUACUGCUAUUGGGAUUCGACUAAGCCAUGCGAGUCAAGGUGUCUUCGGACGCCGGCGUACGGCUCAGUAACACGUAGGUAACCUAACCUCAGGACUGAGAUAACCCCGGGAAACUGGGGCUAAUAUUAGAUAGAUAAAAGAUACUGGAAUGUUCUUUUAUCCAAAGCUUUUGCGCCUGAGGAUGGGCCUGCGUCCGAUUAGGUUGUUGGUGGGGUAAUGGCCCACCAAGCCUGCGAUCGGUACGGGCAGUGAGAGCUGAAGCCCGGAGUUGGGGACUGAGACAAGGCCCCAGGCCCUACGGGGCGCAGCAGGCGCGAAACCUCUGCAAUGCGGGAAACCGUGACAGGGGGAUCCCAAGUGCUCAUGCAUUGCAUGGGCUGUUCUUUGGUCUAAGUAACCAGAGGAGUAAGGGCUGGGCAAGACCGGUGCC
rnacentral:rRNA from 1 species